GCCUGGGUGGCUCAGUUGGUUGAGCGUCCAAUUUCGGCUCAGGUCAUGAUCUCACGGUUCAUGGGUUCAAGCCCCAUGUCAGGCU
rfam:Felis catus isolate Cinnamon breed Abyssinian chromosome X, whole genome shotgun sequence.